AUUGAACGCUGGCGGCAGGCCUAACACAUGCAAGUCGAGCGGAUGACGGGAGCUUGCUCCUUGAUUCAGCGGCGGACGGGUGAGUAAUGCCUAGGAAUCUGCCUGGUAGUGGGGGACAACGUUUCGAAAGGAACGCUAAUACCGCAUACGUCCUACGGGAGAAAGCAGGGGACCUUCGGGCCUUGCGCUAUCAGAUGAGCCUAGGUCGGAUUAGCUAGUUGGUGGGGUAAUGGCUCACCAAGGCGACGAUCCGUAACUGGUCUGAGAGGAUGAUCAGUCACACUGGAACUGAGACACGGUCCAGACUCCUACGGGAGGCAGCAGUGGGGAAUAUUGGACAAUAGGCGAAAGCCUGAUCCAGCCAUGCCGCGUGUGUGAAGAAGGUCUUCGGAUUGUAAAGCACUUUAAGUUGGGAGGAAGGGCAGUAAGCUAUACCUUGCUGUUUUGACGUUACCGACAGAAUAAGCACCGGCUAACUACGUGCCAGCCGCCGCAGUAAUAC
rnacentral:rRNA from 1 species